rnacentral:rRNA from 1 species
GGGUUGUGAGGUUAAGCGACUAAGCGUACACGGUGGAUGCCCUGGCAGUCAGAGGCGAUGAAGGACGUGCUAAUCUGCGAUAAGCGUCGGUAAGGUGAUAUGAACCGUUAUAACCGGCGAUUUCCGAAUGGGGAAACCCAGUGUGUUUCGACACACUAUCAUUAACUGAAUCCAUAGGUUAAUGAGGCGAACCGGGGGAACUGAAACAUCUAAGUACCCCGAGGAAAAGAAAUCAACCGAGAUUCCCCCAGUAGCGGCGAGCGAACGGGGAGGAGCCCAGAGCCUGAAUCAGUGUGUGUGUUAGUGGAAGCGUCUGGAAAGGCGCGCGAUACAGGGUGACAGCCCCGUACACAAAAAUGCACAUAUUGUGAGCUCGAUGAGUAGGGCGGGACACGUGGUAUCCUGUCUGAAUAUGGGGGGACCAUCCUCCAAGGCUAAAUACUCCUGACUGACCGAUAGUGAACCAGUACCGUGAGGGAAAGGCGAAAAGAACCCCGGCGAGGGGAGUGAAAAAGAACCUGAAACCGUGUACGUACAAGCAGUGGGAGCACAGAGCAAUCUGUGUGACUGCGUACCUUUUGUAUAAUGGGUCAGCGACUUAUAUUCUGUAGCAAGGUUAACCGAAUAGGGGAGCCGAAGGGAAACCGAGUCUUAACUGGGCGUUAAGUUGCAGGGUAUAGACCCGAAACCCGGUGAUCUAGCCAUGGGCAGGUUGAAGGUUGGGUAACACUAACUGGAGGACCGAACCGACUAAUGUUGAAAAAUUAGCGGAUGACUUGUGGCUGGGGGUGAAAGGCCAAUCAAACCGGGAGAUAGCUGGUUCUCCCCGAAAGCUAUUUAGGUAGCGCCUCGUGAACUCAUCUCCGGGGGUAGAGCACUGUUUCGGCAAGGGGGUCAUCCCGACUUACCAACCCGAUGCAAACUGCGAAUACCGGAGAAUGUUAUCACGGGAGACACACGGCGGGUGCUAACGUCCGUCGUGAAGAGGGAAACAACCCAGACCGCCAGCUAAGGUCCCAAAGUCAUGGUUAAGUGGGAAACGAUGUGGGAAGGCCCAGACAGCCAGGAUGUUGGCUUAGAAGCAGCCAUCAUUUAAAGAAAGCGUAAUAGCUCACUGGUCGAGUCGGCCUGCGCGGAAGAUGUAACGGGGCUAAACCAUGCACCGAAGCUGCGGCAGCGACACUAUGUGUUGUUGGGUAGGGGAGCGUUCUGUAAGCCUGUGAAGGUGUACUGUGAGGUAUGCUGGAGGUAUCAGAAGUGCGAAUGCUGACAUAAGUAACGAUAAAGCGGGUGAAAAGCCCGCUCGCCGGAAGACCAAGGGUUCCUGUCCAACGUUAAUCGGGGCAGGGUGAGUCGACCCCUAAGGCGAGGCCGAAAGGCGUAGUCGAUGGGAAACAGGUUAAUAUUCCUGUACUUGGUGUUACUGCGAAGGGGGGACGGAGAAGGCUAUGUUGGCCGGGCGACGGUUGUCCCGGUUUAAGCGUGUAGGCUGGUUUUCCAGGCAAAUCCGGAAAAUCAAGGCUGAGGCGUGAUGACGAGGCACUACGGUGCUGAAGCAACAAAUGCCCUGCUUCCAGGAAAAGCCUCUAAGCAUCAGGUAACAUCAAAUCGUACCCCAAACCGACACAGGUGGUCAGGUAGAGAAUACCAAGGCGCUUGAGAGAACUCGGGUGAAGGAACUAGGCAAAAUGGUGCCGUAACUUCGGGAGAAGGCACGCUGAUAUGUAGGUGAAGCGACUUGCUCGUGGAGCUGAAAUCAGUCGAAGAUACCAGCUGGCUGCAACUGUUUAUUAAAAACACAGCACUGUGCAAACACGAAAGUAGACGUAUACGGUGUGACGCCUGCCCGGUGCCGGAAGGUUAAUUGAUGGGGUCAGCGCAAGCGAAGCUCUUGAUCGAAGCCCCGGUAAACGGCGGCCGUAACUAUAACGGUCCUAAGGUAGCGAAAUUCCUUGUCGGGUAAGUUCCGACCUGCACGAAUGGCGUAAUGAUGGCCAGGCUGUCUCCACCCGAGACUCAGUGAAAUUGAACUCGCUGUGAAGAUGCAGUGUACCCGCGGCAAGACGGAAAGACCCCGUGAACCUUUACUAUAGCUUGACACUGAACAUUGAGCCUUGAUGUGUAGGAUAGGUGGGAGGCUUUGAAGUGUGGACGCCAGUCUGCAUGGAGCCGACCUUGAAAUACCACCCUUUAAUGUUUGAUGUUCUAACGUUGACCCGUAAUCCGGGUUGCGGACAGUGUCUGGUGGGUAGUUUGACUGGGGCGGUCUCCUCCUAAAGAGUAACGGAGGAGCACGAAGGUUGGCUAAUCCUGGUCGGACAUCAGGAGGUUAGUGCAAUGGCAUAAGCCAGCUUGACUGCGAGCGUGACGGCGCGAGCAGGUGCGAAAGCAGGUCAUAGUGAUCCGGUGGUUCUGAAUGGAAGGGCCAUCGCUCAACGGAUAAAAGGUACUCCGGGGAUAACAGGCUGAUACCGCCCAAGAGUUCAUAUCGACGGCGGUGUUUGGCACCUCGAUGUCGGCUCAUCACAUCCUGGGGCUGAAGUAGGUCCCAAGGGUAUGGCUGUUCGCCAUUUAAAGUGGUACGCGAGCUGGGUUUAGAACGUCGUGAGACAGUUCGGUCCCUAUCUGCCGUGGGCGCUGGAGAACUGAGGGGGGCUGCUCCUAGUACGAGAGGACCGGAGUGGACGCAUCACUGGUGUUCGGGUUGUCAUGCCAAUGGCACUGCCCGGUAGCUAAAUGCGGAAGAGAUAAGUGCUGAAAGCAUCUAAGCACGAAACUUGCCCCGAGAUGAGUUCUCCCUGACCCUUUAAGGGUCCUGAAGGAACGUUGAAGACGACGACGUUGAUAGGCCGGGUGUGUAAGCGCAGCGAUGCGUUGAGCUAACCGGUACUAAUGAACCGUGAGGCUUAACCUUACAACGCCGAAGCUGUU